rnacentral:rRNA from 1 species
CCUACGGGAGGCAGCAGUGGGGAAUUGUUCGCAAUGGGCGCAAGCCUGACGACGCAACGCCGCGUGGAGGAUGAAGACCUUCGGGUCGUAAACUCCUUUCGAUCGAGACGAAUGUUUUCCGGGUGAACAAUCCGGAAAAGUGACGGUACCGAGAGAAGAAGCCCCGGCUAACUCUGUGCCAGCAGCCGCGGUAAUACAGGGGGGGCAAGCGUUGUUCGGAAUUACUGGGCGUAAAGGGCUUGUAGGUGGCCAACUAAGUCAGACGUGAAAUCCCUCAGCUUAACUGGGGAACUGCGUCUGAUACUGGAUGGCUUGAGUUUGGGAGAGGGAUGCGGAAUUCCAGGUGUAGCGGUGAAAUGCGUAGAUAUCUGGAGGAACACCGGUGGCGAAGGCGGCAUCCUGGACCAACACUGACACUGAGGAGCGAAAGCCAGGGGAGCAAACGGGAUUAGAUACCCCGGUAGUCCUGGCCCUAAACGAUGAAUGCUUGGUGUGGCGGGUAUCGAUCCCUGCCGUGCCGAAGCUAACGCAUUAAGCAUUCCGCCUGGGGAGUACGGUCGCAAGGCUGAAACUCAAAGGAUUGACGG